UUCUUUUCUGGGGUAUAUAUCACAGCCUCUUAGCAAAUAAAUCAUUCAAUAACUUAUUUCAUAUUAUUCGAUUUUCAGGCUAUUAUAUAACCAAGAGUACCAUCAAUGGCGGAAAUUUCAGUAUCAGCUU